AGAGUUUGAUCCUGGCUCAGGAUGAACGCUAGCUACAGGCUUAACACAUGCAAGUCGAGGGGAAACGACAUCGAAAGCUUGCUUUCGAUGGGCGUCGACCGGCGCACGGGUGAGUAACGCGUAUCCAACCUGCCCAUCACUUGGGGAUAACCUUGCGAAAGUAAGACUAAUACCCAAUGACGUCUCUAGAAGACAUCUGAAGGAGAAUAAAGAUUUUUCGGUGGAUGGGAUGGGGAUGCGUCUGAUUAGCUUGUUGGCGGGGUAACGGCCCACCAAGGCGACGAUCAGUAGGGGUUCUGAGAGGAAGGUCCCCCACAUUGGAACUGAGACACGGUCCAAACUCCUACGGGAGGCAGCAGUGAGGAAUAUUGGUCAAUGGGCGAGAGCCUGAACCAGCCAAGUAGCGUGCAGGAUGACGGCCCUAUGGGUUGUAAACUGCUUUUAUAAGGGAAUAAAGUGAGCCUCGUGAGGCUUUUUGCAUGUACCUUAUGAAUAAGGACCGGCUAAUUCCGUGCCAGCAGCCGCGGUAAUACGGAAGGUCCGGGCGUUAUCCGGAUUUAUUGGGUUUAAAGGGAGCGUAGGCCGGAGAUUAAGCGUGUUGUGAAAUGUAGACGCUCAACGUCUGCACUGCAGCGCGAACUGGUUUCCUUGAGUACGCACAAAGUGGGCGGAAUUCGUGGUGUAGCGGUGAAAUGCUUAGAUAUCACGAAGAACUCCGAUUGCGAAGGCAGCUCACUGGAGCGCAACUGACGCUGAAGCUCGAAAGUGCGGGUAUCGAACAGGAUUAGAUACCCUGGUAGUCCGCACGGUAAACGAUGGAUGCCCGCUGUUGGUCUGAAUAGGUCAGCGGCCAAGCGAAAGCAUUAAGCAUCCCACCUGGGGAGUACGCCGGCAACGGUGAAACUCAAAGGAAUUGACG
rnacentral:rRNA from 1 species